UCCAGAUGUGAUAUCUGAUCAAAGGUCUGAGCCCGGUUCAAAUCUCGGUCAGUACUGUCAAUAAAACAAAAUACGACUGUUCACAGGUAGUUACUAAAUUAGGAGGUGCGUAAAGUUGAACCGACAGCAGUGACCUCCAUACACACGUAAGGAAGAGAACACUUUAAACAGAAAAUCACAAUGAUCUAUAGGCUGAAUGUGAACUAAAGUAAGAAUAAAAUGA